rnacentral:lncRNA from 1 species
CUGACCGGUUCCCUCAUCCCGAGGCCUCUCCCUCACAUGGAAACACGUGACACUGAAGGGGUGAUCCUCUGCUCAGACUUUCUUCAGAUGGGGAAAAAAAAAUAAAACCACAAACAGCUGACUGUGAGCCAGACUCCAGCUCAGAGCAGGCAUCCUAAUGACCUCAUCGGUAUACAAGCUGGAACUUGCUUCUCUCAGGCCUGCCUGGCUGCCAGCAUUCCUACUGACCAACUUAUGCAAGAGAGUCCUUGAGGAAAGAGGAGGCUGCCUGUGUGGGGCCUUCAUGCCUGAGCCACACAUGGAGAGACAUAGAAAAACCUGCAUCAGAGACUGGGGCUGAUGGCCUCUCACCCCAACCUCUGCUGUACCCCUCUUCAACGAGCCCCUUUCUUUGCUCACUAAAACAAAACACAUUCCUAAAUUAAACACUCGGUUACCUUCCAUGUGGGCCCAAGUGGAAAAGCCAAUGAAGGCCUGAGGCGAGUGGAUGAGUCAGAACCUGUCCACGGGAGUUUUACUAAAAGAUUCGGGAAAGCUGGAGGACCACAGGCGGCAGAGGACCCGAGGGGCCAAAGGGUUCAAAACUUCUGCAGGUUCGGGACUGGAGAGGAAGUCUCAGAAGCCAUGUAGAACAACCCUGCCACGUUGCAGAUGAGGGAACCACAGCCCAGAGGGUGGCGGAGCGGGGUGUCUUUCGCCGAGCUUAGAGCAGAAAGUAGGACUCUAACCUCCUGACUUGCUCCUGGGCCAACUACGGAAAAGUCCAGGCCCUGAGCAGCAAACUUUGCCUGGCUGGCAAGUUCUCCAGAGAUCUUCCUGACAUCAAAAUCCACGGAAUCUCCAGUGAGAUGCUGCAGAGAGGCAUGAAUGGGCAGGACGAGGGGCGGUGUUUACUUCUCUGCUUUGAAGUCCAGCACAGAAGAGUCUCCAAGCAAGAGGCCUCCAAUAUGCAAAAAAUAAAAGGGAAAUUCCACGUUCAAAUCCAGGAAUAGGGCUAGAGAAAGGAAGGACCAGAUAUAAGACAGAUCAACCACAGAGAGUUCACCUGUUCUUGCAGAAACUGGCUGGGCCAGGUUCUCACGACCCAGGAAAGUUCUGAGUACAAAGAAGGAGAAUCCAGGCCUAGAGUUCCUCCACCCUGCUGCUGCUGCAUGGCAUGGAGUCACAAGAAAGUGGCAAGGAGAAACUGGUGUGAGAACAGAGGCGAGAAUCAGAGCCAAGCCAGCGUCUGGGAACCCAGAACCUUUGGCGCGGCGGCAGCCGCUAGGGUGCAGCUGUGGGCUGAUGUGGGGUUCACGCCAGGGGCGGAGCCGCGCAGGAGAUGAGCUGGCAGUGAUGGCGAGGAGGUUCGGUGUUGUGUUUCUACUGUAACUAUAAUUAGGCGGAUUCUGUGUUUAUUUAGGCUGAGAGCUGUAAGAUAAAUGACAGCUUCGAAGAUGCUUUUCAGCACUUCAUAAAUCACCCACCGGCCCGGGCAGUGUGCUUGUGUCUUGUCUCAGUUCUCGCUCGGUGCCCUGCCGGUCCCCCCAUUCACCUCGGAAGAGGGCACAGCCUGGAUGACCCAGGAGCCCACGCCACAAAGGCAAGAGGCAAAGGGGAAGGUGGUGUCUGUCCUUCUCUAAGCUCUCGGCGCCCCGGAAUCAGUGCCCAGCAGCUGCUUGGAAAGCUGUCAGGAAAAGCUUCCUCCAGAGGUGGUCCCCAGGCCCAGUGGGGAUGCGUUGACGGGCAGGCCUGCCCUCCUCUGGGAGAAUAUGGUCUCUAAUCGGCUCUAACUCUUCUCGCCCCCACCCCCGCCUCUCUGACACAGCUGGAGAUUUACGGGAGACACUGGAGAAAUAUUUAUAGUACAGAGAACCGUCUUUUCCCCUCCUAUGCCUGUCUGCGUCUCCUGGGGCUGGGGUGGAAGGGCCCAUGUCUUUUCCCAUUGGGGAGCACAUUCUGGGAUGGUGCUUCCCAGCGGGAGUUUGGAACUCCUUGGACAUCUGAAAGUAAAGAACCAGAGGGGAACCCAUCUCUCUCACCGAGGCCCAGUCCACUUAGGAGAAAGGGCAAUGGACCGAUGGGGCUUCAACUUCAAGCUUGAAAAACAAACAGAUUGCAGAAGCAUUUCCCUAGCAGAACAGCGAACAUACUUGUCUCUAGACCAGGCGCCUUUCCAGGUAGAUGUUUCCAAUCCUAGCUGUGACUAACAGGGUCCGAGUUAGACCGCAGGGGCAAUGAUACGGUUUCUAAGUGUUUGUCUGUGAACUAGGAGACUUUAAUUCAAAUCUUAGCUCCUCUUACAGCUGGGCUAUGUGUUUGCUCAGUCUGUGGACUUUGGCUUCUGUUCUCCAAAAAAGGGGACAAGCUAGACAUGGUGACCCAGGUCUGUAAUCCCAGCCCUGGGGAAACUAAAGCAAAGGGAUUGUGAGUUCAAACGCAGCCUGGGCUACCUAAGGGAUGCUGUGGUUGAGGACAAGGAGAAGGAGGCAUUUUCUAGGCUAAGUUCUGCCCUAGAAGGCAUACAGGCUUUUGGAAAUGUUGCUGUGUCUAUGGCAUUGAUUGUGUCUAUGGUUCCACAGUUGCUUACCUGUCUCCAAACUCAUCAAGCUGUAUACAUUAAACAUCUAAAGAGUUUUGUGUGUCAAGUAUGCCCCAAUGAAGCAGUUUGUUUUUAAAUGUAUGCAUAGGCUGGGGAGAUGGCUCCGUUGGUGAAGUGUCUACUAAGCAAGCAUGAAAGCAUGAAGACUUGAGCUCAGGUUCCCAGCACCCACAUAAAAGCCAAACACAGCAACCAUUAUCUGUAACCCCAGUACUGGGCCGUGGAGAAGAUGGGUUCCUAGAGUUUACAAGCCAGCCAGCCUAGCCAGCUGAUGACAUUCAAGACAAGUGAAAGGCCUAAUAUGACCUCUGACCUACACACACACAAGCACACAGGUGCAGGUGCACUCACACAUACACAUAUCCACACAAACACACACAUGUAGCAUACACAAGCACAGGUGGGCAGGCACACCCACAUGCAUGUAUAUACUCACGCAAACACAUACAUGCAACACACAGACACAAGAAAAAUGCAUGUAAAAUGUGAACAUCGGGCAGUGUGUUAACAAUUUCACAAAUUGAAUUUAGAAAAUGUAUUGUUGCACUCGUUCCUAAACGAUGCUUUAUCGUUGAGAAAUGAAUUAUGUCAUACUCAAAAUGACGGCAUGUUAUCAGCUGUCCUCAGCCCUGACAAAUUUCUUUGUGACAUUAUUAACAGCAUAACAGUGACAGUGAGAGGUAGCAACGUCAAUACUGACAAGGUCAAAUCGUCAAAGCCAAGAUCAUUUUGAAUGUCUACUGCAGGCUCAGGCUAUGCUGAAGAACUUGGCUCUGCUGCAGGUGGGAGGUAGAACUUGGUUUGUUUUUGUUUGUUUUUGUUUUGCUUCACCUAGAUCCCUCUGAUUAACUUAUCUCUAUCUUCUCAUUUCUUUUGAUUGUUCCAUUUAGUCAAUGUGUCUGGAAUGGGCUGGACACCCUGGCUAGAUGCUUAAGAUGAAUGUGAAUACUGGUUAAGUAUCUUUCCCUAGGAUGAGAG